rfam:Fukomys damarensis contig139939, whole genome shotgun sequence.
GCCGGGCGUGGUGGCGCAUGCCUGUAAUCCCAGCACUCGGGAGGCUGAGGCAGGAGGAUCGCUGUGAGUUCAAGACCAGCCUGGGCUGCAUAGUGAGUUCCAGUUCAGUCUGAACUACAUAGUGAGACCCUGUCUCAA